AGAGUUGAUCAUGGCUCAGGAUGAACGCUGGCGGCGUGCUUAACACAUGCAAGUCGAACGAGGCUCAUCUGUGGAAGUUUCGGAUGGAAACGGAUGUGACCGAGUGGCGGACGGGUGAGUAACGCGUGGGGAACCUGCCCCAUUCCGGGGGAUACCAGUUGGAAACGACUGUUAAUACCGCAUAAGCGCACGGGAAGGCAUCUUCCAGUGUGAAAAACUGAGGUGGAAUGGGAUGGCCCCGCGUCUGAUUAGCCAGUUGGCAGGGUAACGGCCUACCAAAGCGACGAUCAGUAGCCGGCCUGAGAGGGCGACCGGCCACAUUGGAACUGAGAGACGGUCCAAACUCCUACGGGAGGCAGCAGUGGGGAAUAUUGGGCAAUGGGCGAAAGCCCUGACCCAGCAACGCCGCGUGAGUGAAGAAGGCCUUCGGGUUGUAAAGCUCUGUUAUAGGGGACGAAGGAAGUGACGGUACCCUAUAAGGAAGCCCCGGCUAACUACGUGCCAGCCGCUGC
rnacentral:rRNA from 1 species